rnacentral:rRNA from 1 species
AUUGAACGCUGGCGGCAUGCCUUACACAUGCAAGUCGAACGGCAGCGCGGACUUCGGUCUGGCGGCGAGUGGCGAACGGGUGAGUAAUACAUCGGAACGUACCCUGUUGUGGGGGAUAACUAGUCGAAAGAUUAGCUAAUACCGCAUACGACCUGAGGGUGAAAGCGGGGGACUGCAAGGCCUCACGCAGCAGGCGCGGCCGAUGUCUGAUUAGCUAGUUGGUGGGGUAAAGGCCCACCAAGGCGACCAUCAGUAGCUGGUCUGAGAGGACGAUCAGCCACACUGGGACUGAGACACGGCCCAGACUCCUACGGGAGGCAGCAGUGGGGAAUCUUGGACAAUGGGGGCAACCCUGAUCCAGCAAUGCCGCGUGUGUGAAGAAGGCCUUCGGGUUGUAAAGCACUUUUGUCCGGAAAGAAAUCGCGCUGGUUAAUACCUGGCGUGGAUGACGGUACCGGAAGAAUAAGCACCGGCUAACUACGUGCCAGCCGCCGCAGUAA